rnacentral:rRNA from 1 species
CCUACGGGAGGCAGCAGCCGCGGUAAUAUUGGACAAUGGGCGAAAGCCUGAUCCAGCAAUGCCGCGUGUGUGAAGAAGGCCUUCGGGUUGUAAAGCACUUUUAGCGAGGAGGAAAUACUUAGGAUUAAUACCCCUAAGAGUUGACGUUACUCGCAGAAAAAGCACCGGCAAACUCUGUGCCAGCAGCCGCGGUAAU